rnacentral:rRNA from 2 species
GCAGUCGAACGAACUCUGGUAUUGAUUGGUGCUUGCAUCAUGAUUUACAUUUGAGUGAGUGGCGAACUGGUGAGUAACACGUGGGAAACCUGCCCAGAAGCGGGGGAUAACACCUGGAAACAGAUGCUAAUACCGCAUAACAACUUGGACCGCAUGGUCCGAGYUUGAAAGAUGGCUUCGGCUAUCACUUUUGGAUGGUCCCGCGGCGUAUUAGCUAGAUGGUGGGGUAACGGCUCACCAUGGCAAUGAUACGUAGCCGACCUGAGAGGGUAAUCGGCCACAUUGGGACUGAGACACGGCCCAAACUCCUACGGGAGGCAGCAGUAGGGAAUCUUCCACAAUGGACGAAAGUCUGAUGGAGCAACGCCGCGUGAGUGAAGAAGGGUUUCGGCUCGUAAAACUCUGUUGUUAAAGAAGAACAUAUCUGAGAGUAACUGUUCAGGUAUUGACGGUAUUUAACCAGAAAGCCACGGCUAACUACGUGCCAGCAGCCGCGGUAAUACGUAGGUGGCAAGCGUUGUCCGGAUUUAUUGGGCGUAAAGCGAGCGCAGGCGGUUUUUUAAGUCUGAUGUGAAAGCCUUCGGCUCAACCGAAGAAGUGCAUCGGAAACUGGGAAACUUGAGUGCAGAAGAGGACAGUGGAACUCCAUGUGUAGCGGUGAAAUGCGUAGAUAUAUGGAAGAACACCAGUGGCGAAGGCGGCUGUCUGGUCUGUAACUGACGCUGAGGCUCGAAAGUAUGGGUAGCAAACAGGAUUAGAUACCCUGGUAGUCCAUACCGUAAACGAUGAAUGCUAAGUGUUGGAGGGUUUCCGCCCUUCAGUGCUGCAGCUAACGCAUUAAGCAUUCCGCCUGGGGAGUACGGCCGCAAGGCUGAAACUCAAAGGAAUUGACGGGGGCCCGCACAAGCGGUGGAGCAUGUGGUUUAAUUCGAAGCUACGCGAAGAACCUUACCAGGUCUUGACAUACUAUGCAAAUCUAAGAGAUUAGACGUUCCCUUCGGGGACAUGGAUACAGGUGGUGCAUGGUUGUCGUCAGCUCGUGUCGUGAGAUGUUGGGUUAAGUCCCGCAACGAGCGCAACCCUUAUUAUCAGUUGCCAGCAUUAAGUUGGGCACUCUGGUGAGACUGCCGGUGACAAACCGGAGGAAGGUGGGGAUGACGUCAAAUCAUCAUGCCCCUUAUGACCUGGGCUACACACGUGCUACAAUGGAUGGUACAACGAGUUGCGAACUCGCGAGAGUAAGCUAAUCUCUUAAAGCCAUUCUCAGUUCGGAUUGUAGGCUGCAACUCGCCUACAUGAAGUCGGAAUCGCUAGUAAUCGCGGAUCAGCAUGCCGCGGUGAAUACGUUCCCGGGCCUUGUACACACCGCCCGUCACACCAUGAGAGUUUGUAACACCCAAAGUCGGUGGGGUAACCUUUUAGGAACCAGCCGCCUAAG